UCGAUAUGGGGUUCCAUAGAACUGUUGGGCUGGUCGCCUGUGCGAUCGUGUUCGCUGUUGUAGCGGACGUCGCCUACGGACAAAAGGGUGACGGUGGAAACAAGCCAACGCCACCACUAACGAAACCAACGAAACCUACGAAGCCGGCGCAUCUUGGGAAACCCACCAAACCUACCAAACCAACGCCACCUACGGGAGCAAACAAACCAACGCCACCUACGA